UACAGAGGUCUCAAGCGUUGUUCGGAUUCAUUGGGCGUAAAGGGUGUGUAGGUGGCGCGCUAAGUCGGGUGUGAAAUUUCGGAGCUUAACUCCGAAACUGCAUUCGAUACUGGCGUGCUUGAGGACUGGAGAGGAGACUGGAAUUCAUGGUGUAGCAGUGAAAUGCGUAGAGAUCAUGAGGAAGACCAGUGGCGAAGGCGGGUCUCUGGGCCUUACCUGGACGCUGAGGCGCGAAAGCUAGGGGAGCGAACAGG
rnacentral:rRNA from 1 species